AUGGUGGGCUUGGGCGUGGGCGUCGGGACAGGGGCGUUGGGCUCCGUCAUCGGCAAGCUCGCCACCUUGCUCGGCGACGAGUACAUGAUGCUCAAGAAGGUACGCAAGGACAUUGCCUUCCUCGAGCGUGAGCUCCGCAGGAUGCAGAUCCUGGUGGACACACUAGCGGACAUGGAAGAGCUCGACGAGCUGGCCAAGGACUGGAAGGGCACCAUGCGCGACCUCAGUUACGACAUGGAGGAGUGCAUCGACCGCUUCAUGCUCCGUCUCGGGAACGGCGACGCCAAGCCCAGGUUCAGGAAGAAGACAGUGCGCCAGCUCAAGACGCUCUUUGAGCGCCAUGGAAUCGGCACCCAGAUCAAGGAGCUCAAGGCCCGCGUCGAGGAGGAGAACCAACGGCGGCAGAGGCUAAACCUCGACAAGUAUAUUGUAAGUCCAACAAGGGCUGUGGCAAUAGAUCCCCGGUUAGCUGCGUUCCACGGAAUCACCAAGGGCUUGGUGGCCAUUGACGGCCGCAGGGACCAGGUUAUCUCUUGGUUGACAGAGGAGAGCGAGGAGCUCAAGGUGGUGGCUAUUGUUGGAGGUGGAGGGCUAGGAAAGACCACCCUAGCCAUGGAGACCUAUCGCAAGAUUGGAGGAAACUACCAGUGUCGAGCUUCGGUGUCGGUGUCACGCACUCCUGAUCUCGAGAAGCUCUUGAAAGAUGUCUUGUCUCAAAUCGAUGAAGCUGCAUUUAGUAAGUGCCAGGCGGAGAGGUGGGAGAAAGACCAACUAGUCCGUCAGAUCCGGCGGAUCUUGACAGGAAAGAGGUACUUCCUUGUUAUUGAUGAUGUAUGGAAAGUACAAGACUGGGAAUUUAUCAAAGCAGCUUUUCCUGAUAAUUAUAAUGGUAGCAGAAUUAUUGCUACUACACGCAUUGCCAAUGUAGCCAAGUCAUGUUGUUCUAACUCAUGUGGUCGGCUCUAUCAAAUGCUACCUUUGAAUGAUGGUGAUUCCCGAAUAUUGUUCUUUAAGAGAAUUUUUGACUCAGAAAGCUCCUUCCCUCCUCAACUAGAAAAGGUUUCAGCUAGGAUCUUAAAAAAAUGUGGUGGUCUGCCAUUGGCUAUAAUUACCAUUGCGAGUUUGCUAGCCAAUAAACCUCAAAACGCAGAUGAAUGGGAGAGACUCCAAGAUUCCAUUGGUGCAGGUCUUUCAUAUGAGAGUGAUGAUGGUGGAAAGGGUAUGGCACAUAUAUUGUUACUUAGUUAUUGGGAUCUCCCACACCACUUGAAGACUUGUUUGUUGUACUUAUGUAUAUAUCCAGAGGACGCGGAAAUCUCGUGUGAAGAACUGAAAUGGAAAUGGAUAGCCGAAGGGUUUAUUACUUCAAAACAGGGAAAUUUGUAUCAAGAAGCAGAGAGUUGUUUUAAUGAACUUGUCAACAGAAGCAUGAUCCAGAUAGUUGAUGUUGACAGUUUUGAAGAGAAAUAUUGUCAGGUUCAUGAUAUGGUGCUUGACCUUAUAAUUUCUCGGUCAACUGAAGAGAAUUUUGCCACUGUUUUGAAUGGUGUGUGCAAUUCGUUGCCAACCAAGAUGCGUCGACUCUCCCUGCAAUCUAGUGGGCUUGAACAGAAAGGGGCAAUCCAAGCCAUCAUAAGAAGUAAGUUACAUGUUCGCUCAUUUAAUGUGUUUGAAGAAACAAAGGAUAUACCACCACUUGUGGACUUCCUAUCCUUGCGUGUGUUUGAUAUAUACAGGGAUUAUUCAUCGUGGGAAAACAAGCAUAUAAGAAAUAUAGGAAGUUUCUACCAACUGAGGUAUUUGAGGAUGAGCGGACUAGGAAUCACAGAGCUUCCUGCAGAUAUUGGAAAGCUACAGAACUUAGAGACACUUGAUUUGCGGGGAAGUCGUAUUAGAAGACUGCCAUCAACAAUAGCCCAGCUACAGAAACUGGUACGCCUAUUGAUUGACAACGAUGACUUUGUAUUUUCUGCUGAUAUGUUUGGGAACAUGCGAGCCCUGGAGGAAGUGUCAGAUAUCUAUAAAGUUGACAACCCUGAAAAAAUUUUGGAAGAGUUUGGACAUCUAACAAAAUUGAGAAAGAUUUCGAUGAGUAGGUUAUGGGGGUGGUGGCGUGUGAGUUUUGGGAAUGUUAAAUGCUAUCGAGAAGCACUGGGGUCGUCUCUAAAUAAGUUGGGUAAAUACAGCCUUCAGUAUCUUCAUACUAACGGAGAUAUGGGAAACAUUAUAUUCAGGGAUCCAUGUUGCACGUUUCCACACCUCCAAGAUCUUAAACUGGUGCAUGACAUGGAAAGGAUUCCCAAGGGAAUGGCCUCCCUAACCAAUACCGUGAAAUUGGAGAUAGCAGUCACACAAUUUGAUGAAGAAGGUCUCCACAUUCUCAUGGGUAUGCCUUCUCUGGCCUAUCUCCAGCUAACGGUAGGGUUUCGUGGCACCAUGAGUCCCAUGACUGUUAGUAGUAACGGAUUCAAGCUCCUAGAGGUGUUCCACUUCCACUGUAACAUAUCAUACGGAGAAGUGGGGAUAGAAUUUGCAGCAGGUGCUAUGACAGCACUCCGGCGGCUCCAUCUUUCCUGGCGCGCAAGGCUAGUUAGGUUGAGGUCUAGUGAUGAUGUUGGCAUGGGCAUCCAGCAUCUUUCAAGCCUUAUGCAACUCCAGGUCGAAACUUGGUGUGUUGGUGCAACUCUAGAGGAGGUGGAGGCCCUAGAGGGUCCCGUUGAAAAAGCAGUCACCUUGCAUCCCAACCGUCAGACUCUUCAACUCCAUCUCCAUAGAAAAGAUGAACAUCUUAUGUUCAAGGACGAGGAGGAAAGGAAGAGGGGAAGGCCCGCUGGUUUCUUCGUUCCUUUGGCCAUGUUGGAGGAGAAUGCGCUAGAGCAAGAAGAUAUCAUCCGAUUCCGUGCUCUGCCAUUUACCACGGCUCUGCAACUUAUCUCCAGAAUACUGAUAGUGGACACCUUAUACUAG
rnacentral:rRNA from 1 species